GGGCUGCAGUGAGGAAUAUUGGACAAUGGGCGCAAGCCUGAUCCAGCGACGCCGCGUGAGUGAUGAAGGCCUUUGGGUCGUAAAGCUCUGUCAGCAGGGAAGAACGGCCGUGUGGUUAAUACCCAUGCGGAUUGACGGUACCUGCAGAGGAAGCACCGGCUAACUCCGUGCCAGCAGCCGCGGUAAUACGGAGGGUGCGAGCGUUAAUCGGAAUUACUGGGCGUAAAGGGCGCGUAGGCGGCCGAUCAAGUCAGAUGUGAAAGCCCACGGCUUAACCGUGUGAAGUGCAUCUGAAACUGGUUGGCUUGAGUAUCGGAGAGGAAAGUGGAAUUCCCGGUGUAGAGGUGAAAUUCGUAGAUAUCGGGAGGAAUACCGGUGGCGAAGGCGACUUUCUGGACGAAUACUGACGCUGAGGCGCGAAAGCGUGGGGAGCAAACAGGAUUAGAUACCCGUGUAGUC
rnacentral:rRNA from 1 species